rnacentral:rRNA from 1 species
UACGUAGGUGGCAAGCGUUGUCCGGAUUUACUGGGCGUAAAGAGCGCGCAGGCGGUCGUUCAAGUCGCGUGUGAAAGCCCCCGGCUCAACUGGGGAGGGUCACGCGAUACUGAUCGACUCGAAGGCAGGAGAGGGUAGUGGAAAUUCCCGGUGUAGUGGUGAAAUGCGUAGAUAUCGGGAGGAACACCAGUGGCGAAGGCGACUACCUGGCCUGUUUCUUGACGCUGAGGCGCGAAAGCUAGGGGAGCAAACGGGG